rnacentral:rRNA from 1 species
UUAGAGUUUGAUCCUGGCUCAGAUUGAACGCUGGCGGCAUGCCUUACACAUGCAAGUCGAACGGCAGCGCGGGAGCAAUCCUGGCGGCGAGUGGCGAACGGGUGAGUAAUACAUCGGAACGUGUCCUGGAGUGGGGGAUAGCCCGGCGAAAGCCGGAUUAAUACCGCAUACGCUCGGGAGAGGAAAGCGGGGGACCUUCGGGCCUCGCGCUCAAGGGGCGGCCGAUGGCAGAUUAGGUAGUUGGUGAGGUAAAGGCUCACCAAGCCGACGAUCUGUAGCUGGUCUGAGAGGACGACCAGCCACACUGGGACUGAGACACGGCCCAGACUCCUACGGGAGGCAGCAGUGGGGAAUUUUGGACAAUGGGCGAAAGCCUGAUCCAGCCAUGCCGCGUGCGGGAAGAAGGCCUUCGGGUUGUAAACCGCUUUUGGCAGGAACGAAACGGCGCGGGCCAAUACCCCGCGUUAAUGACGGUACCUGCAGAAUAAGCACCGGCUA